AUUUGGAAAAGAAGGACCUGAAAUUGCCGGUUCCUCUCUCGAUCAGGCAAUUGGGUGCCUCAGAGACCCAGGAGCGCUGCCAGCUCCCACAGUUGGCAAAUGAGUCUCUCAUGUUCGGAAAAUGUGGAAAUCUUUCCUGUAGAGUGCAGAAGCUAAACCUCGCCAUGGGAGAAACACCUUCCUGAUCAAGGAGAGAAGGAGGGUGAAUAAGCCAUCCUUGUCUCCCAUGGCCUCCCCACCCUCCAAUGUUAUGUCAUUAAAAUUGGAGAGGGUUAGCAGAAACAAUGGUCAUAUUCCAAGUUCAACCCUGACAGCAUUGUACGUGGGCAUCUGGGGAGAGGCUCCCACCGAACCUAGCCUGAGCGCGACCCGGGCGCUGAGACGCCGACUCCGCCGCGGCUGGACGAGGCAGCGGGACCGGUGCGCGCCCGAGCAUGGAGAUGAAGCGCCAGGGAGGGCAUGUCCGGGGCGCCGGAGACGCCAGGCCCGAGUAGCUCCUCCAUGGAGCCUGCCCAGAGCGACCCCUGCUCGCCGGUUUCGCCCCCGGUCCUGUGCGGCUGCUGAGAGCGCUCCUUGCUCUGUAAAGUGGAUGUCAGGUGGAUCUAUGUGUUUGAAGGAACAAAGACUCAGCGAAAGCACCGCCGAGGAAGUUUGA
rnacentral:lncRNA from 12 species